UGCCUAAAACAUGCAAGUCGAACGCACAUCUUCGGAUGUGAGUGGCAGACGGCUGAGUAACGCGUGGGUGACGUACCUGUUGGUGGGGAAUAACUGCCCGAAAGGGUGGCUAAUUCCGCAUAAGUCUGUAGCUUCGAGGCUGCAGGGAAAGCUCUGUAAAAAGAGCGCCGAUGGAGUGGCCCGCGUCCGAUUAGCCAGUUGGUGGGGUAACGGCCUACCAAAGCGACGAUCGGUAGCUGGUCUUAGAGGAUGAUCAGCCAGACUGGGACUGAGACACGGCCCAGACUCCUACGGGAGGCAGCAGUUAGGAAUUUUGGGCAAUGGGCGCAAGCCUGACCC
rnacentral:rRNA from 1 species